UACGGAGGGUGCAAGCGUUAUCCGGAAUCAUUGGGUUUAAAGGGUCCGUAGGCGGUUUAGUAAGUCAGUGGUGAAAGCCCAUCGCUCAACGGUGGAACGGCCAUUGAUACUGCUGAACUUGAAUUAUUAGGAAGUAACUAGAAUAUGUAGUGUAGCGGUGAAAUGCUUAGAGAUUACAUGGAAUACCAAUUGCGAAGGCAGGUUACUACUAAUUGAUUGACGCUGAUGGACGAAAGCGUGGGUAGCGAACAGG
rnacentral:rRNA from 1 species